rnacentral:piRNA from 1 species
UAAAUGACCUAAGCAUAGCUGUUCAGAAAUC